rnacentral:misc_RNA from 1 species
GAUGAAAGAACGCAGCGAAAUGCGAUAAGUAAUGUGAAUUGCAGAAUUCAGUGAAUCAUCGAAUCUUUGAACGCACAUUGCGCCCGCCAGUAUUCUGGCGGGCAUGCCUGUCUGAGCGUCAUUUCAACCCUCAUGCCCCUAGGGCGUGGUGUUGGGGAUCGGCCAAAGCCCGCGAGGGACGGCCGGCCCCUAAAUCUAGUGGCGGACCCGUCGUGGCCUCCUCUGCGAAGUAGUGAUAUUCCGCAUCGGAGAGCGAUGAGCCCCUGCCGUUAAACCCCCAACUUUCCAAGGUUGACCUCAGAUCAGGUAGGAAUACCCGCUGAACUUAAGCAUAUCAAUAAGCGGAGGA